UUCAGUUUGUCGUCUUUCAUGUUUUCAGUGUCUUCUUGUUCCUAAUGUGUUUUUUUUUUAAUUUAGCCUUUUUUGCAGUCGUUUCUGGUUUCCAGUUUGUGGAAGUUUUUGGGACUAUGUUUUUUUGGAACCUUGUUUUCUGCUGUCAAUAAGAGCCUCCCAAGGAUGCUGAGGCCUGAGCCUGCAAGAAUUCACAUGGCCUGUGAGUGAACUUUAAGCAUGUCCAACAUGUCCUGUGUCGAAAACAAAACAGAUGCUACGUGGACAGAUGUUAAUGAGGUGUCUGUCCACAGUCUGAGAUACGCUGGAACUUUCCCUCGGCCGGGAUAACGCGCUACCCCUUCUUCCUUUCCUGUUAUGAUUUCCUGCGAUGCAAACACCCAUUUUGUUCUGGUGCGUGUGUGUCGAUGGAGAGCGAGGAGCUGCCCUGUGCCUGCCCUGUUCACAUCUGGAAGUACGCUCGCUGACGGCGGCUCAUACAUGUACAGCUGUCGACUAAAAAACACUUCCCAUACGGGAAAUGUUCUGGACUUCUCUUUGCACAGUAAAGCAGGAAUGUGCAUGUGUGUGUAUAUAUUCUCCAAUGCGUAUUUAGACAUGUGCUUGCACGUGUUUGUUAACCUGUGUAUACUCUUAGUGUGAGACGGAGUGUGUUGACACAAAGGAGAGAGCGACGUGCUGAGCUGCACGAUGGCAGUCGUAUGAGUAUUGUGACCAGUUUACUUGCAGCAAUGAAGGUUUAGGAUGCGAUGAGGUUGAAUCUUGUGCCAGUUUAUUCAACAUUUCAAGCACAAUCAUCUCUGUGAUCCAUUUUCACACAUUUGGAUUAGAGUCUGUUUUUGGUCAAACCCAUCGUAAUUUAUGCCCCAAAAGCAAACUUCUGUCACAUUGCUUUUAGACCCAUGACAAAAGAUGAAAAAGACUUUCUGAGGACUUAACCUUAGUUCAUGUCUUCAAUAUAGGAGGAGGGGGUUGGUACGGGGCUUGAAAUGGAAACUAAUCCGGUGUGAAAUGGGCCUGGAGGCCAAUCCAUUGGACCUGUCCAAAAGGAAAACAUAUCACACGCAGAGAAAGAUCUGAUGUCAUCUGAAUCUGGGGGAGAGAAACCUGACAUGUUGUUCACUCAAGUGGCUGCUGACAGCACUUAAAUUUAUUGUCCCCUCAUUAUUUUUGUUCCAUGAUGAGGUAUCAACAAUCUCAAUAAUGGAGUCAGAACAACAGCCGCAGCACUCAUAAAUAAUGCAACUGGAUACAGCCUGAAUGGAGACUCCACGGGCUACAAACCCAAAGUGAGCUCCCAGAGAGACCCCACAGAAUGAGUUUGGGGAGGUUAAAAGGCCUGUCAACAACACAAACAACACCCUGAGUGCAGAAAAAAGGGGCCCUCUGCUGUUUUUACUCUCUUUUUCCCCCUCUUGUUCUGUUUCUUUGCAGCUUUCACAGAAAUAUUUGGUCGUUGUCCAUUUCCCCGCUCGCUGAAACAUAAAGAGCUCUCCCCUGUUUGUGAAUUCUCUGUCUACACCCAGUCCUAAUCCUCAACUGAAGUGACUCUCCAUUGAGCGUAAGGCAUCUUGGAGGUCACAGGCAGGAUUGUUCGAGUUGACACUGACACAGCAGCCAGGGGCCUCUGCAGCGCAGAGCAGUGUGAUUCAAAUCCAAAGCUGCAAACACACAAAUGGAAUUGAACCAUUCAGAAAGUUACGUCACAUCGGGCGAGGUCAUUUCCCUCUGAUCUGUU